UACGUAGGGUGCGAGCGUUAAUCGGAAUUACUGGGCGUAAAGCGUGCGCAGGCGGUUUUGUAAGCCAGAUGUGAAAUCCCCGGGCUUAACCUGGGAAUGGCAUUUGGGACUGCAAGGCUUGAGUGCGGCAGAGGAGACUGGAAUUCCUGGUGUAGCAGUGAAAUGCGUAGAUAUCAGGAGGAACACCGAUGGCGAAGGCAGGUCUCUGGGCCGGUACCGACGCUGAGGAGCGAAAGCGUGGGGAGCGAACAGG
rnacentral:rRNA from 1 species